AUUGAACGCUGGCGGCAGGCCUAACUCAUGCAAGUCGAGCGGAUGAAGGGAGCUUGCUCCUGGAUUCAGCGGCGGACGGGUGAGUAAUGCCUAGGAAUCUGCCUGGUAGUGGGGGAUAACGUCCGGAAACGGGCGCUAAUACCGCAUACGUCCUGAGGGAGAAAGUGGGGGAUCUUCGGACCUCACGCUAUCAGAUGAGCCUAGGUCGGAUUAGCUAGUUGGUGGGGUAAAGGCCUACCAAGGCGACGAUCCGUAACUGGUCUGAGAGGAUGAUCAGUCACACUGGAACUGAGACACGGUCCAGACGACUACGGGAGGCAGCAGUGGGGAAUAUUGGACAAUGGGCGAAAGCCUGAUCCAGCAAUGCCGCGUGUGUGAAGAAGGUCUUCGGAUUGUAAAGCACUUUAAGUUGGGAGGAAGGGCAGUAAGUUAGUACCUUGCUGUUUUGACGUUACCAACAGAAUAAGCACCGGCUAACUUCGUG
rnacentral:rRNA from 1 species